rnacentral:rRNA from 1 species
GAUGAACGCUGGCGGCGUGCCUAAUACAUGCAAGUCGAGCGAACGGACGAGACUCUUGCUUGUCUGAUGUUAGGGGCGGACGGGUGAGUAACACGUGUAUACCCUACCUUUAAGACUGGGAUCACUUCGGGAAACCGGAUCCAACACCGGAUAAUAUUUUGAACCGCAUGGUUCAAAAGUGAAAAACGGUCUUGCUGUCACUUAUAGAUGGAUCCGAGCUGCAUUAGCUAGUUGGUAAGGUAACGGCUUACCAAGGCUACGAUGCAUAGCCGACCUGAGAGGGUGAUCGGCCACACUGGAACUGAGACACGGUCCAGACUCCUACGGGAGGCAGCAGUAGGGAAUCUUCCGCAAUGGGCGAAAGCCUGACGGAGCAACGCCGCGUGUGUGAUGAAGGUCUUCGGAUCGUAAAGCACUGUUAUUAGGGAAGAACAUAUGUGUAAGUAGAUGUGCACAUCUUGACGGUACCUAAUCAAAAAGCAACGGCUAACUACGUG